rnacentral:tRNA from 1 species
GCGGGUGUAGCUCAGUGGUAGAGCUUCUGCCUUCCAAGCAGAAUGUCGUGGGUUCGAACCCCAUCGCCCGCUCCA